rnacentral:rRNA from 1 species
GUGAGAAUCAGUUUAAUUUGAAUUUUAAUUUAUUAUUAUUUUAUUAUAAAAAAAAUAUUUUUAUGUUUUAGUAUAUUAUUUAAAGAAAAAAUUGUAAUUAUGAUAGUUAAGAAGUAUAGUGAUAGAAUAAAAAUAAAAUAUAAAAAGAAAAAUUUAUUUUUUGUACCUUGUGUAUCAGGGUUUAUUAAUUAAUUUUUAUUAAUAUUAUAAAUUUCUCGAAUUUAAAAGAGUUAAUUAUUUAUAAAUUUUAUUGUUAAAUAAAUAUUUAUAAUAAAUAAUUAGUAAUGAAACGUUAUUCGUUUUUAAAUAUAUCUAGUUUUUAAAGAAAAAAAUUUAAUUUUAUUUAUAUAAAAAUUUAUAUUUAAUUUUUAAAUAAAAAUUUUAUAUAAAUUAUAUUAUUUGGGAUAAGCUAAAUAAUAAAAAUUUAUAAAUAAUAUAAAUUAGUUUAAUGUGUAGAAUUAGAAAUUUUCAUCAUUUAUUUUGUUAUAAUUAAUUAAAUAUUAAUAAAAAUUUAUAUUAAUUUUAAAUUUUUUAUUUAAAUUUUAAAUUUAAUAAUAAAAUUUAAGUAAUUAUGAUAAAAUUAGUAUAAAUUUAUGUAAAAUAAGUAGUUUAAUUUUAAGGUUAUGAAAAGGAAUUCGGCAAAUAAAUUUUUCGCCUGUUUAUUAAAAACAUGUCUUUUUGAUUUUAAUUUAAGGUCUGACCUGCCCAAUGAGUAUUUUAAUGGCCGCAGUAUUUUGACUGUGCAAAGGUAGCAUAAUCAUUAGUUUCUUAAUUAGUAACUGGAAUGAAAGGUUGGACGAGAAAAUAACUGUCUCUUUAUAAAUUAGUUAGAAUUUUAUUUUUAAGUUAAAAAGCUUAAAUUUUUUUAAAAGACGAGAAGACCCUAUAGAGUUUUAUUUAUAGUUUUUUAAAAAUUUAAUUUGAAUAGUAAAAAUUUUAAUUAAGUAUAAAUUUGAUUGGGGUGAUUAAAAAAUUUAUUAAACUUUUUUUAUAUAUAAACAUUAAUUUAUGAAUAUUUGAUCCAUUAAUAAUGAUUAUAAGAUUAAAUUACCUUAGGGAUAACAGCGUAAUUUCUUUAUAGAGUUCAUAUUACUAAAGAAGUUUGCGACCUCGAUGUUGGAUUAAAAUUUAUUUUUGGUGUAGAAGCUAAAAAAAUUAGGUCUGUUCGACCUUUAAAAUUUUACAUGAUCUGAGUUUAAACCGGUGUGAGCCAGGUUGGUUUCUAUCUUUAAAUUAGUUAUAUAUUUUAGUACGAAAGGACCAAAUAUACUAAAUAUUUUAUUUAUAUUGAAUUUUAUUAAUAUUAUUUUGGCAGAUUAGUGCAUUAAAUUUAGAAUUUAAUUAUGUAAUUUAAAUUACAAAUAA